rnacentral:rRNA from 1 species
UACGUAGGGUGCAAGCGUUAAUCGGAAUUACUGGGCGUAAAGCGUGCGCAGGCGGCCAUGCAAGACAGAUGUGAAAUCCCCGGGCUCAACCUGGGAACUGCAUUUGUGACUGCAUGGCUAGAGUACGGCAGAGGGGGAUGGAAUUCCUGGUGUAGCAGUGAAAUGCGUAGAUAUCUGGAGGAACACCGGUGGCGAAGGCGGCAUCCUGGACCGGCAUUGACGCUGAGGCGCGAAAGCCAGGGGAGCAAACGGG